AUUGAACGCUGGCGGCAUGCCUUACACAUGCAAGUCGAACGGCAGCACGGGUGCUUGCACCUGGUGGCGAGUGGCGAACGGGUGAGUAAUACAUCGGAACAUGUCCUGUAGUGGGGGAUAGCCCGGCGAAAGCCGGAUUAAUACCGCAUACGAUCUACGGAUGAAAGCGGGGGACCUUCUGGCCUCGCGCUAUAGGGUUGGCCGAUGGCUGAUUAGCUAGUUGGUGGGGUAAAGGCCUACCAAGGCGACGAUCAGCAGCUGGUCUGAGAGGACGACCAGCAACACUGGGACUGAGACACGGCCCAGACUCCUACGGGAGGCAGCAGUGGGGAAUUUUGGACAAUGGGCGAAAGCCUGAUCCAGCAAUGCCGCGUGUGUGAAGAAGGCCUUCGGGUUGUAAAGCACUUUUGUCCGGAAAGAAAUCCUUGGCCCUAAUACGGUCGGGGGAUGACGGUACCGGAAGAAUAAGCACCGGCUAACUACGUG
rnacentral:rRNA from 1 species